UACGGAGGGUGCAAGCAUUAAUCGGAUUUAUUGGGCGUAAAGGGCGCGUAGGCGGGUAUGUAAGUCAGAUGUGAAAUUCCGGAGCUCAACUUCGGAGCUGCAUUUGAAACUACAAACCUGGAGGGAAGGCGGAGAAAACGGAAUUCCACGUGUAGCGGUGAAAUGCGUAGAUAUGUGGAAGAACACCGGUGGCGAAAGCGGUUUUCUAGCUUAACCCUGACGCUGAGGCGCGAGAGCAAGGGGAGCAAACAGG
rnacentral:rRNA from 1 species